UUCAAAUUUUUAAGAGCAAACGGUGAAUGCCUUGGCAUGUAGAGCCGAAGAAGGACGUAGUAAUCUGCGAUAAGCCUCGGGGAGUUGAUAAACGAACUGUGAUCCGAGGAUGUCCGAAUGGGGAAACCCCGCCAGGCCCGUGAGGUGACCUGGUGACUCCCGCCUGAAUAUAUAGGGCGGGUAGAGGGAACGUGGGGAAGUGAAACAUCUCAGUACCCACAGGAAGAGAAAACAACAGUGAUUCCGUUAGUAGUGGCGAGCGAACCCGGAUGAGGCUAAACCGAUCAUGUGUGAUAGCCGGUAGGCGUUGCAUGGUCGGGGUUGCGGGACUUUUCUGCCUAUUCUACCGAAUGGUAAGGGUUAGAACGUUGUAUAGACGAACAGGAUUGAAAGCCUGGUCAUAGAGGGUGCGAACCCCGUAGUCGAAAUGCAGCAAUCGCCCGAGAAGUAUCCCAAGUAGCACGGGGCCCGAGAAAUCCCGUGUGAAUCCGUCAGGACCACCUGAUAAGCCUAAAUACUCCUACAUGACCGAUAGUGAACAAGUACCGUGAGGGAAAGGUGAAAAGUACCCCGGGAGGGGAGUGAAAUAGUACCUGAAACCGUUUGCUUACAAACCGUUGGAGCCAGCUUUGUUCUGGUGACAGCGUGCCUUUUGAAGAAUGAGCCUGCGAGUUAGUGAUAUGUGGCGAGCUUAACCCGAGAGGGGAAUGCGUAGCGAAAGCGAGUCUGAAUAGGGCGAUUCAGUCGCAUGUCCUAGACCCGAAGCGAAGUGAUCUAUCCAUGGCCAGGUUGAAGCGACGGUAAGACGUCGUGGAGGACCGAACCCACUUCAGUUGAAAAUGGAGGGGAUGAGCUGUGGAUAGGGGUGAAAGGCCAAUCAAACUUCGUGAUAGCUGGUUCUCUCCGAAAUGCAUUUAGGUGCAGCGUUGCGUGUUUCUUGCCGGAGGUAGAGCUACUGGAUGGCCGAUGGGGCCUAAAAGCUUACUGACGUCAGCCAAACUCCGAAUGCCGGUAAGUGAGAGCGCAGCAGUGAGACGGUGGGGGAUAAGCUUCAUCGUCGAGAGGGAAACAACCCAGACCACCAACUAAGGUCCCAAAGCGCGUGCUAAGUGGGAAAGGAUGUGGAGUUGCACAGACAACCAGGAGGUUGGCUUAGAAGCAGCCACCCUUGAAAGAGUGCGUAAUAGCUCACUGGUCAAGUGAUUCCGCGCCGACAAUGUAACGGGGCUCAAGCACGCCACCGAAGUUGUGGCAUUGAUAUUUUUGGUUAGCUAACACCCUUGUGGUGUUGGUUCAGCCGUGUUGAUGGGUAGGAGAGCGUCGUGUGGCCAGCGAAGCGGCGGUGUAAACCAGCCGUGGAGGCCACACGAGUGAGAAUGCAGGCAUGAGUAGCGAAAGACGGGUGAGAAACCCGUCCUCCGAAAGAUCAAGGGUUCCAGGGCCAGGCUAAUCCGCCCUGGGUAAGUCGGGACCUAAGGCGAGGCCGACAGGCGUAGUCGAUGGACAACGGGUUGAUAUUCCCGUACUGACGAAAAACCGCCCAAGCUAAUCCAGUAAUGCUAAGCAUCUGAAUCCCCUAGAUGGAUCCCUUCGGGGUGAAGCGUGGGGCCUAGCGUGCGACCCUAUGCUGGUGCGGUUAGCGUAUUAACAGGUGUGACGCAGGAAGGUAGCUGAGCCGGGCGAUGGUUGACCCGGUCUAAGGAUGUAGGGCGAACGAUAGGCAAAUCCGUCGUUCAUGAUGCCUGAGACCCGAUGGGUAGCCCGUAAGGGUGAAAUCAGUGAUCCUAUGCUGCC
rnacentral:rRNA from 1 species